rnacentral:rRNA from 1 species
UAUGUGAUUGUCUCUCGCACAUCAAUAAGCGGAGGAAAAGAAACUAACAAGGAUUCCCCUAGUAACGGCGAGUGAAGCGGGAAGAGCUCAAAUUUGAAAUCUUAAAGGGUUUCCCUUUACGAAUUGUAGUUUAAAGAAGUGUUUUCUGUUGAGGUUUUGGUAAAAGUUCUUUGGAAUAGGACAUCAUAGAGGGUGAGAAUCCCGUAUUUGACCUUUACUUUCAACUUUGUGAUACACUUUCAAAGAGUCGGAUUGUUUGGGAAUGCAGUCCAAAAUGGGUGGUAAAUUUCAUCUAAAGCUAAAUAUUGGCGAGAGACCGAUAGCGAACAAGUACCGUGAGGGAAAGAUGAAAAGAACUUUGAAAAGAGAGUUAAACAGUACGUGAAAUUGUCAAAAGGGAAGCGUUUGACACCAGUGUUGUUUUUCUGAAAAUCAAUUAAAGAACUGUUUAUGCUAAGUUGUUUAGACUUUAUCAGCUAACUGUUUAGUUUUGAGCUUUUCUUUAAUGCACUUUUCAGUUAACAAGUCAACAUCAAUUUCUUUUGCUGUAAAAAAGCUUGAGGAAGGUGGCUUGAGAUUCGUCUUAAGUGUUUAUAGCCUCUUGCCUAUGCAGUCGGAGAGAUUGAGGUCUGCAGCGUAGAUCCUUCGGGGCUAAAUGCAUUUGUGCUAAGUUAUAACAUUUUAUAGACAACUUGUUGACUAUGAUUUGUCUUGUAGCUUACUCGCUUAUGUUAUUUUACCUACGCUUAGGAUGUUGAGUAGCGACAUACGCAC